rnacentral:rRNA from 1 species
UGGGGAAUCUUGCGCAAUGGGCGAAAGCCUGACGCAGCGACGCCGCGUGUGGGAGGAAGCUCUUCGGGGUGUAAACCACUGUUGCCCGGGACGAACAACGAGUUUCGACUCGUCUGACGGUACCGGGUGAGGAAGCACCUGCUAACUCUGUGCCAGCAGCCGCGGUAAUACAGAGGGUGCGAGCGUUGUCCGGAAUCACUGGGCGUAAAGGGCGCGUAGGUGGCGGUGUAAGCGUGCGGUGAAAGCCCGAGGCUCAACCUCGGGUCGGCCGUGCGAACUGCAUCGCUCGAGCAGAAUAGAGGCAGGUGGAAUUCCGGGUGUAGCGGUGGAAUGCGUAGAGAUCCGGAAGAACACCGGUGGCGAAGGCGGCCUGCUGGGUUCUGGCUGACACUGAGGCGCGACAGCGUGGGGAGCAAA